rnacentral:rRNA from 1 species
GAUGAACGCUGGCGGCGUGCCUAAUACAUGCAAGUCGAGCGAACGGACGAGAAGCUUGCUUCUCUGAUGUUAGCGGCGGACGGGUGAGUAACACGUGGAUAACCUACCUAUAAGACUGGGAUAACUUCGGGAAACCGGAGCUAAUACCGGAUAAUAUUUUGAACCGCAUGGUUCAAAAGUGAAAGACGGUCUUGCUGUCACUUAUAGAUGGAUCCGCGCUGCAUUAGCUAGUUGGUAAGGUAACGGCUUACCAAGGCAACGAUGCAUAGCCGACCUGAGAGGGUGAUCGGCCACACUGGAACGGAGACGCGGUCCAGACGCCUAAGGGAGGCAGCAGUAGGGAAUCUUCCGCAAUGGGCGAAAGUCUGACGGAGCAACGCCGCGUGAGUGAUGGAGGUCUUCGGAUCGUAAAACUCUGUUAUUAGGGAAGAACAGAUGUGUAAGGAACUGUGCACAUCUUGACGGUACCUAAUCAGAAAGCCACGGCUAACUACGUG